ensembl:lncRNA
AGAGAACACAGCGAAGUGUAAGAAGCUAGGAAAGUUCUACAAAACAACAUGGAAUUGGGGGUGGGGGAGGGGGAGGCUGCUUCUCAUGGCCCUCUGCAGGCCUGGGAAGGUCAUAUGUGUCCCCGGGGGCAUGCACUGGCUGCUCUCCCAGUUUGAGAGGCACCUCCAGGCGUGUGGGAGACAGCGUCACUUGGCUGGGCGCAGUGGUACCGAGGGAGGCUCUCAGUCCAGGAAUUACAGGGCAAGGAACAGCAGUGUGCGUCAAGUGACUAGAACUGGCUUCGCACCGCAUGCCUCCACAACAGCUGGCAGAGAGCUGUGUUCGGUUUAUUCACAGAAUUGACCCAAACGCCUUUUUCCCUAGAAUACAUUCGCCUCUUGAUGGAGCUGUUCUUAGAAUGUGGGAGGCUGCAGAUUCCUCUGAGAAUCCGCGGAGCCACAUACCCUCGGCCCCCCGGCCCCUGCUGGCUCAGAACUGGCAUUGUGUUGGAACGGACCUUAAUGCUGACCCGCAGAUCUGGACCUGCGACACCGGUGCUGCUGUGGGCUCCGUGUGGGACCUGUGCACUGACAGUGGCUACAGGACAAAUAUCGACGCGCUGUAUGUGACACCAGGCAAAUACUCCUUUCUGGAAACCAAAUUUCCUUUCUUUUUAACGGUCCCUUCCAUUGGUCCCGCCUGCCCCCAUGAGUCUUACUCACACCUCAAUCACUUCCUACCCGGGCUGUGGAUGGUUUUUGUUUCGUGACGGGUCUCAAAUGAAGUCUCUAGCCACGGAGAGCCAAACAGACAUCCGAAAGAUUGAUUCUAGGCACCGGGAAACAACACAUGAGUCAUCCAGUUUGCUCACUUGUGAGACACGGGGAAGGAUUAAAACCCACAUCACAUCUGGGUCCCCAAGGCUUUGUCAUCCCAGUGGGUGCCCGGUCCAAGCCUGGAGUCAGCUUCACCUGCUGCACACGCCUUCCCUUCCUGGGUAGGCUGCUGAGUGACCGUCUCUAAGCCACCAGCCAGGGAAGACCACCAUGGACAGGCCCUUGGGGACAGCGCCUGGGCUGUCCACCUCCCACGAGCUCUAAGGCCCAGCUGCGGGAGCAUCCGUGAAGCCACCGCCAAGGACGCCCUAACCUCCGGGCUCCCUAGCCGGAGAGGACCCCGUUUCACUCUGCAGGAGCUACCUGUUUGCUAGCAUACCCUGUUUCUCUCCUGUUCCAGAACAUCCCCCAGCAGGGGCCCGGCCGUGAGUCUGCUCCCCGCGAGCAGAAGUGCAGAGCAAGAACGCAGUCCACAUCCAUCACGCACACGAAGGGCUCUCACCCCGCUGGGCUCGUGGGACCAUCCUGUCCGCCCAGCACUGGGAGCUGACCAAGUGUUGGGUGGUCCCUGGGAAGCACCCCCUCCCCUGUGUCUAGCAGAAAACAAAUUGACAUGUGGCGUCACUUCCGUUGGGGGCCUUAAGAAGCGGACUUGACCUGUCCAGUCUUCCUUCUACCCCUCAAGCUGGAGAAAGGGCAGGCAAGGGGCGGGGGUUGGUGGAGACGCCAGGAAUGAUGGAGGCCCCAUGGUGGCACCUGGAAGAGAGUCAGUCGCCUGGAGGCCAGGAGGGGGGCCUGGGAGGACAGCCUUGGGCUGCAGCUGUCCAGGGAGGCCGGAGGCUCAGCCUCUUACCUGGGAGGGGCCAUUUGUCCAGGCAGCUUUUUGUUGCACUUCCUCUACCCUCUGGAGCUGCUUGCUUCCUGCAGAGAGCC